UACGUAGGGUGCGAGCGUUAAUCGGAAUUACUGGGCGUAAAGCGUGCGCAGGCGGUUCGUUAAGUUCGUUGUGAAAGCCCCGGGCUCAACCUGGGAACUGCAAUGGAAACUGGCGGGCUUGAGUGUGGCAGAGGGGGGUGGAAUUCCGCGUGUAGCAGUGAAAUGCGUAGAGAUGCGGAGGAACACCAGUGGCGAAGGCGGCUCACUGGCCCAUAACUGACGCUGAGGCACGAAAGCGUGGGGAGCAAACAGG
rnacentral:rRNA from 1 species